ensembl:lncRNA
GUAAUGAGACAGAACAAAAUGUUGUGGGUUACGAAUUGAUUUCAAGGGCAGAGGGCUUGUCUGAAAGCAGACUUCUCUGUAGAUGAUUUUGGGCUGGAGAUUCCCAUGACAGUGGACAGGAAGAACAAGUCCAGAUAUUUACCGACCUUUUAAAUCUCCUGUUUCUCCACAUGGGAUGAGACAAAACCUGAUAAUAGAAGGGAGUUUGGAGCCCUGGAUCGAACUCAGGACCUUGCACUUUUGAGGCAGGCGCUGAAACCACUGAGCUAAAUCCUUGGCACCAGAAAGUUUUACUCUUACACACCUUUCAGGAUUAAGCUGAAACAUUAUCUGCUCCAUGAUGCCUUCCCCAAAUCUAAUUGCGACAUGCAUAAUAAAUGAGGCAAUAGUUCGACCUAGAUGUUCACGAGCAAGCACAUCCCGGGUAGCUGUCCUCUACGAGUUCGUUUCCACCUUGUUUCUUCAUUUUUCUUUCUGUCUUUUAUUUCAAAGUAUCUUUCCACUAUGAAUGUA